AAAAUAAUUAGCCAAUUAGAACGAGUUCAUCUGUGUACGAUAGUUUAAAACGGUUAUUUUUGUUUCAGAUUUUUUGUUGACCUUAUCAAGUCUUAUCUGAAAUAUCAUGCUACUCUACCAGUUACCAGUAUUUUAAAUAAAAAUAUAAAUUCUAUCGAUAAUCUAAAGGUUUUUGUUACUUUUUGCCCACUUAUUGGUUGUUUUUAUAACAUGCUAUUUUUGAACACUCAUUCUCAAAGUCCAUUUAUAUGUACACUUGGUAGACUGUCUGUGAAUUGUUUUGUUAAAGGAACACUCCUGACAAAUAUAAAAUGCACUUUGAUUAAUCAUGGGAAAAGUUUUUAUUUUAUUUUUAUUUUUUGUCCGCCCCCCCACCUUUUUAUGUAGUCUCCUGUUGUGCAUGAGAUUUCAAAUUUUUCAUUUAAUGAUUCAUCCACACAGUAGAGCAAUUCUAGCAUGAGCCUAUCCGUGAAAAAAUAGUUUAAUUGCCUAAGUUAAAACUUGCUUCGUCACAACACGACGUGGUAGGAUUUCAUAAAAAUAGAAUCUUUAUGGAAAAUCUAAGUCCAAUUAGAUUUGUUUUGUCAAUAUUCGCAGUUGUCGCUAGUGACAAGUGUGGGAAUGAGGCUUAAUCUGCACUGUGUGAGUUGGUUUAUAGAGGAUCCUUCAUAGACCUCUGGGAUGGAUGAACUCUCAUGCAUACAGGGAAAGUUCUACUUUAAAGGUGGCUUCUGGCAGAAUAACUAGGAUGGUGUCACUGCAAGGGAGAGCUUCAGUUAAAUCUAUUUUUAGGUUCUCCCCUGGCCUCCGUAGGGAUGUUGGCUUCGUGCAAAGACCCUCGAAAUUGGAAGCAGCUUUGGGAACAUCUUCUCUUUGCCUUGUAACCAUUUUCAUACAUCUGACAAUAUGAGUUUAUAACUUUGCUGGGAACAUUUGUAUUUUGUUGCAAUUUCUUUUGGCCAUCAAUUGUCUUGCAUUACUGGAACCACAGGUCUGGUUAAAGGGACACAGUAGGUACACAGUGCUUAAAAUCAUUUAAGUGGUUAUAGUGUUUGGAGUCACCGGACACCAUCUUUUCAUUCAAUACUGUAAUCCAGGGGUGCCAAAAAGGUAGAUCCCAAGAUGUUGAACUACAACUCUCAUGAUGCUUUGCAUGCCUUUUUAGAAUGACAAAGCACCAUGGGAGCUGUAGUCUGAAAAAAACAUUGGGGGAUCUAACUUUUGGACACCUCUGCUCUAUUCGGUGUUAAACUAUUUUCAAGCAGUUUAACAGUGAAUGCAGGGUCAAUGCCCGGUGACUCCAGGCACUUUAACCAAUCUAAUGAAAUUAAAUUAUGGUGCAUACAGUGUCAUUUUUAAUAUCUAUUUUACAGCCUCGAAAUUGAUGAAAACCAUGCAGUGAUUAUUGGUCCUGCAUCUGUUUACCUGUUGACAUUGUUAUAGUUCGUAUUUUUUUUUUUUUUAGCCAAAAAUGGGCAGGUUCCUGUAAUUGGCAUCUAUGUCUGUUUUUUUUUAGUUUUUUUUAAUUGUUAAAUUGCUAACACGUCAGCUGACACAGACUAUAUUUUGACACAUUCUAAAAUUCAAAUAUAGAUAUAAUGUAUUGAAGCAGACGACACUGUCCUCUCUCGUGGUAUCUAGUUUAAAGUGAUUUUUGUUUUUAUUAUGUUAACACAGCUGGCAUAACUAGCAUAUAUUUUUCAUUUAUGAUUUUCUAUGAACUGUUUAAUGCGUUCACAUGGAAGCACAGAUUUAAGUGAGAAUUUGGCUGUAAAAGGGAUACAUACUUGCUUUGUAUUUUCCCGUGUUAUAUGGGCCAUCUAUUUCUGUUUAACAGUGUUAGUCUGAAAAUUGAGAAAGGAGUGUGAAUUACAUAGUUAUAGAAUUACCCAGUAUAGGAUGAUUUGUAUAGCUUUAAGAACUUUAUAUGUAAGGUACCAGUGGGUAGUUAUGUUUAGUUUAACUCACUGUGAAACUCCUUUAUGUAUUGAGUAAACUGAAUCAAAGUAACUGCCAUAUGUCUAUCAAACAUGCCAUAUUUUUCCAUUGAUUUUAAGAAUUCUGUCUCAUGUUUAUGUUCAUAAUUAUCAACUUUACGAUUCUGUAGUAAUCUGAAAGAAGAUAUAUACUCUGUAAACGUACUAUUUUGUUUUGCCAGCAAUAGUGGCAUAACCAAAAAACAAACAAAAACCAAAAGGUCUUUUAUGCAUUACUAAGCAGGCGGUUUUCAAAACAGAAUCCUACAUGUGAAUCUCCGUUUGUGAAGUGUGAAGUUUGUUUCCUUUUUAGUUUUGUAUUUAGAUAUAUUUUUUUAUUUCUGCUCCUUUUUGUAGAAUAUAUAUAUAUUUUUCCUUUGAUGGGGAGGGGCAAAAUUUAAGUCGAAAACAUAUUAUAUGUUAUUUUAAAGAGAUGAUGAGCAAUGUUUUAACCUUCAACCUGAAUUUAUUUACAUUGACAGAACCCAGCCUUGGGGUACACUG